rnacentral:rRNA from 1 species
UACAGAGGGUGCAAGCGUUGUUCGGAAUUAUUGGGCGUAAAGGGUGCGUAGGCGGUGCGGUAAGUCUGUAGUGAGAUCUCUGGGCUCAACUCAGAGUCUGCUAUAGAAACUGCCGUGCUUGAGUGUGGGAGAGGUGAGUGGAAUUCCCGGUGUAGCGGUGAAAUGCGCAGAUAUCAGGAGGAACACCAAUGGCGAAGGCAGCUCGCUGGGACGGUACUGACGCUGAGACGCGAAAGCGUGGGGAGCAAACAGG